rnacentral:rRNA from 1 species
UACGUAGGUGGCGAGCGUUGUCCGGAUUUACUGGGCGUAAAGAGCGCGCAGGCGGUCGUAUAAGUCGCGUGUGAAAGCCCCCGGCUCAACUGGGGAGGGUCACGCGAUACUGUUCGACUCGAAGGCAGGAGAGGGAAGUGGAAUUCCCGGUGUAGUGGUGAAAUGCGUAGAUAUCGGGAGGAACACCAGUGGCGAAGGCGGCAUCCUGGACCAACACUGACGCUGAGGAGCGAAAGCCAGGGGAGCAAACGGG